CCGCAGCCCAUUAAAUCCACCAGAUCCCUUUCCUCGUGGGGCCUGGUAAUGACUGUGGCAAGCAGCCUCAGUAGUAGUGAACGUAGCCUGUUGCCUAUAUGCAUUUCCCCAAGAAACCACGGGUACAGUU